GCGCCGCGCACACAACAGACAUUGCAUGAACCCUAGCCUCCAAUCCUCUGCCAGCACACCCUCACUCCUCCCUCGCUCCACUGCAGCCGCCACACUUCUCUCUCCUCGGUUCUCUCUUCCCCCUCAUUCACCACAGCCAUAGCCCCAGGAGCUCCGCAGUCCCUGUCAAGGAGAUCCAUGGCCUCCCAAGGUGCUCAUCUGCCCAGGUCGUGAGGAAGCCGGGGGAGGAGGAGACCUCGUCGCGAGGGAGCUUCGGGAGGAGGAGCUCAACCCAAGAGGAGAGGAUGCCAGCCAGGGAGUCGUCUUGGCUGGACGUGGUCCUUCGCGUCUUGAACCUAGCGCCGUAGGCGGCUCGUGCAGUGGCGCAGCGGAGGACGGCCUCAGCUGGUGGGUGACGGCGCCCGCAUCUGGUGCAUGACCUCGCAUCCUGGGUGCGUGCUGGAUUAGCUCGCGUCUUCAGGGCCUUCAGCUCCUAGGAUUUAAUAAGAUGUCUUGGGCUUCAUUGGAAAAAUGAUCUACCUGGAGCAAUGAUACAUGAACCAUGGUGUCCUACUGCACUUGAUCUGUGAGCUGUACAAGACCUUCCGCAACUUCAAAAUUCAUGUUUCAGAUUAUUUGCACCCCAGAAAGACAACUUCCACCAUGAAUGGAUGCUUUCUAGAUGCUACAACGGAUGAGCUUAAUGAGUGAUGUUACAUGUAUUAUCUGCUGUGAAGAGACGACAACAGCAAAGAAGCUGCUUUGUGGGCACUUGUUUCAUGUGCAUUGUCUGAGGUCAUGGCGAGAGCGCCAAAAUACUUGCCCGACAUGUAGAUCUCCCAUUGCCCCCCGGACAAUGGACGUGCUCCAUCAGCGCGAUAGCAUGAAGCCCAACUGGGAGUUAGCUUGGUGAGCUUCGUUUUGUUGUUCAAUUUUUUGUUUUGAUUUUUUCUACUUAACCAUUUCUAUCAGUGAGGGCUACAAUUGGCAAAUAGUUUUUAUGUGAUUCCUAAUUUAGUGUGAGGAAAAAUAGCUGCAGGCGUCGGUGCUCCAGGUCCAGAAGGAGUAACAAGCAAGAACGUGAACAGGCGCCCAACAAAAUAGGCAAUCUUCAUUGAAAGUUGUAACAUAUUUACAACUGGAUUCAGUUUUAAAUCAGAAAUAGAAGUCGUUCAAGUUUCAGACAGUUAUAUGAUGUGGCAUGUGCAUGCUUUACAGUUACCUUGCAAGUGUCGUGAUGAUGCAUAGAUAUUUAUGUAUCUAUAUGAAUGUCAGACCCUGCGUGAUUGAUCUUAUUUUAUUCCUAUGUGAGAACUAGCUCUCCUUUAGUAAUGCAGUACUUUUAUACUAGACUAAAGUGGGAAUGGUUGGAUUGCGCUCUAUAGGACAGUGUGAUUUCUUCUCAUAGAAUGUUGUCAUCUAUAUCUUGCUGAAUGUACAUUACUAUAUUUUGCAUGAUAAUAUGUUUUUGCUAUGCCAGUCAUAUAAGUUAUCUAUUUUCUACAGGUUGUUACAUCCCCAAAGAGGAUUCCAGCAGCAAAAAUUCAAGCUUGAAUGGAAGGUAGUCCAAGAGCUUUAUGAUGUUGAUUUCUUUACGAACAUUAUGGGAAGUGGACUUCAUUAUGAUUGGUGCCACAUUCCUAAUUUACUGCUCAUUUCGUAGUUGUACAAAAAAAUGCCUGGGCGUGCAAGUUUUAUGUGAAAAUGAUGCACCGGCGGUCUUUUGGAAGAAUGGGAAAAUCACAUGGAUGUCGGAUUGCAAGCACGUAGGGCAUUGCUUAUGUGGCGUACAGUUCAUAAAAACUUCCUGAAUUGAGUAUUUAUUUUUCAGUUCUAUGCUUUGUUAGACUACUAGAGCUAGAGGUGUUAAAAUCCUAGAUGAUGCUAGAUGGUGUAAUGGCAUUAGUGCUGAAUUAUAUUACAAAUGUACAAUUUGGAUAAGUAUAACAAAUCUAUUAGAUUUGGUUUUUUAUUCAUAUCAUCAGUCUACAAUCA